AUUGAGGCUUGACUCAUCCUGGCAUUCUUAUUGUCCUGUUGUGAUAUAGUACUCGUAGAGGAAACUUCUUUGCUUAUUCAUUGGCUAUAGUCUGUGGCCUAGCCAAUCACUGGUUGGUUCAAAUAC
rnacentral:snoRNA from 1 species